AUAUGUUUUCACUCGUUGUGCAGAACUUGUUGAAUAAAGACUGGGGAGAAAAUCUGCUCUUAUCAGUUUGUUUGAUACGUCCCCUAUUUGGGGACCAUAUAAUGAUUUUUGGAACAGGGAGAUGGAAUAGGGGCUUGCUCCGUCCACUCCAUACAUUCACCUGGUAUUGCAGUACCUCUAGCAACAGUGCGCCCCCU